rnacentral:rRNA from 1 species
GGCAAAUCCGUGUCACAUUAAGGCUGAGACUUGAUGCAUACCCGUUGUGGGGAAUUCAGUGAUCCUAUGCUGCCGAGAAAAGCCUCUAGUGAGUUCAUACACGGCCCGUACCCCAAACCGACACAGGUGAUCAGGUAGAGAAUACCAAGGCGAUCGAGAGAACUGUGGUUAAGGAACUCGGCAAAAUGCCCCCGUAACUUCGGGAGAAGGGGGACCAUGCCCGGUGAACAUCUUCACGGUGGGAGCUGGGUGUGGUCGCAGAGACCAGAGAGAAGCGACUGUUUACUAAAAACACAGGUCCGUGCGAAGACGUAAGUCGAUGUAUACGGACUGACGCCUGCCCGGUGCUGGAAGGUUAAGAGGACCGGUUAGCCGUAAGGCGAAGCUGAGAAUUUAAGCCCCAGUAAACGGCGGUGGUAACUAUAACCAUCCUAAGGUAGCGAAAUUCCUUGUCGGGUAAGUUCCGACCUGCACGAAUGGCGUAACGACUUCUCUGCUGUCUCGACCACAGACUCGGCGAAAUUGCACUACGAGUAAAGAUGCUCGUUACGCGCGGCAGGACGAAAAGACCCCGGGACCUUUACUAUAGCUUGGUAUUGGCGUUCGAUUCGGUUUGUGUAGGAUAGGUGGGAGACUGUGAAGCAUGCACGCCAGUGUGUGUGGAGUCGUUGUUGAAAUACCACUCUGAUCGUAUUGGACGUCUAACCUCGGCCCAUGAUCUGGGUUAGGGACAGUGCCUGGUGGGUAGUUUAACUGGGGCGGUUGCCUCCUAAAGAGUAACGGAGGCGCCCAAAGGUUCCCUCAGCCUGGAUGGCAAUCAGGUGUUGAGUGCAAGUGCACAAGGGAGCUUGACUGUGAGACUGACACGUCGAGCAGGGACGAAAGUCGGGACUAGUGAUCCGGCACCGGCAAGUGGAAGCGGUGUCGCUCAACGGAUAAAAGGUACCCCGGGGAUAACAGGCUGAUCUUCCCCAAGAGUCCAUAUCGACGGGAUGGUUUGGCACCUCGAUGUCGGCUCGUCGCAUCCUGGGGCUGGAGUAGGUCCCAAGGGUUGGGCUGUUCGCCCAUUAAAGCGGCACGCGAGCUGGGUUUAGAACGUCGUGAGACAGUUCGGUCUCUAUCCGCCGCGCGCGUAAGAAACUUGAGGAAGGCUGUCCCUAGUACGAGAGGACCGGGACGGACGAACCUCUGGUGUGCCAGUUGUUCCACCAGGAGCAUGGCUGGUUAGCUACGUUCGGAAGGGAUAACCGCUGAAAGCAUCUAAGCGGGAAGCCUGUUCCAAGAUGAGGUUUCUCACCACCUUGCGUGGUUAAGGCCCCCUACAGACCAUGGGGUUGAUAGGCCGGAACUGGAAGCGCAGCAAUGCGUGGAGGUGACCGGUACUAAUAGGCCGAGGGC